rnacentral:rRNA from 1 species
UACGAAGGGGGCUAGCGUUGUUCGGAUUUACUGGGCGUAAAGCGCACGUAGGCGGAUCGUUAAGUCGGGGGUGAAAUCCUGGAGCUCAACUCCAGAACUGCCUUCGAUACUGGCGAUCUCGAGUCCGGAAGAGGUGAGUGGAACUCCUAGUGUAGAGGUGGAAUUCGUAGAUAUUAGGAAGAACACCAGUGGCGAAGGCGGGUCUCUGGGCAGUAACUGACGCUGAGGAGCGAAAGCGUGGGGAGCGAACAGG